AGCUUCGCGCAGUGGCAGUAUCAUAGCCAAUGAGGUUUAUCUGAGGCGCGAUUAUUGCUAAUUGAAAACAAGCUAUACUACAAAGC
ensembl:snRNA U4 U4 spliceosomal RNA